rnacentral:rRNA from 1 species
UGCAAGUCGAACGGCAGCACAGAAGAGCUUGCUCUUUGGGUGGCGAGUGGCGGACGGGUGAGUAAUGUCUGGGAAACUGCCCGAUGGAGGGGGAUAACUACUGGAAACGGUAGCUAAUACCGCAUAACGUCGCAAGACCAAAGUGGGGGACCUUCGGGCCUCACACCAUCGGAUGUGCCCAGAUGGGAUUAGCUAGUAGGUGGGGUAAUGGCUCACCUAGGCGACGAUCCCUAGCUGGUCUGAGAGGAUGACCAGCCACACUGGAACUGAGACACGGUCCAGACUCCUACGGGAGGCAGCAGUGGGGAAUAUUGCACAAUGGGCGCAAGCCUGAUGCAGCCAUGCCGCGUGUAUGAAGAAGGCCUUCGGGUUGUAAAGUACUUUCAGCGGGGAGGAAGGCGGUGAGGUUAAUAACCUUGCCGAUUGACGUUACCCGCAGAAGAAGCACCGGCUAACUCCGUGCCAGCAGCCGCGGUAAUACGGAGGGUGCAAGCGUUAAUCGGAAUUACUGGGCGUAAAGCGCACGCAGGCGGUCUGUUAAGUCAGAUGUGAAAUCCCCGGGCUUAACCUGGGAACUGCAUUUGAAACUGGCAGGCUUGAGUCUCGUAGAGGGGGGUAGAAUUCCAGGUGUAGCGGUGAAAUGCGUAGAGAUCUGGAGGAAUACCGGUGGCGAAGGCGGCCCCCUGGACGAAGACUGACGCUCAGGUGCGAAAGCGUGUGGAGCAAACAGGAUUAUAUACCCUGGUNUUCCACGCCGUAUACGAUGUCGACUUGCAGGUUGUGCCCUUGA